rnacentral:rRNA from 1 species
CCUACGGGAGGCAGCAGUAGGGAAUAUUGCUCAAUGGGCGAAACCCUGAAGCAGCAACGCCGCGUGGAGGAUGAAGGCUUUAGGAUUGUAAACCCCUUUUGUUAGAGAAGAUUAUGACGGUAUCUAACGAAUAAGCAACGGCUAAAUCCGGGCCAGCAGCCGCGGUAAUACGGAGGGUGCAAGCGUUACUCGGAAUCACUGGGCGUAAAGAGGGCGUAGGCGGGGUAAUAAGUCAGAUGUGAAAUCCUGUGGCUUAACUACAGAACUGCAUUUGAAACUGUUACUCUGGAGUGUGGGAGAGGUAGGUGGAAUGCUUGGUGUAGGGGUAAAAUCCGUAGAGAUCAAGAGGAAUACUGAUUGCGAAGGCGGCCUGCUGGAACAUUACUGACGCUGAUGCACGAAAGCGUGGGGAGCAAACAGGAUUAGAUACCCUAGUAGUC